rnacentral:misc_RNA from 1 species
UACGAGAACCUCAAGCGUUAUCCGGAAUUAUUGGGCGUAAAGCGCGCGCAGGCGGUUCCUUAAGUCUGAUGUGAAAUCUCGGGGCUCAACCCCGAGCGGUCAUUGGAAACUGGGGAACUUGAGUACAGAAGAGGAGAGUGGAAUUCCACGUGUAGCGGUGAAAUGCGUAGAUAUGUGGAGGAACACCAGUGGCGAAGGCGACUCUCUGGUCUGUAACUGACGCUGAGGCGCGAAAGCGUGGGGAGCGAACAGG